rnacentral:rRNA from 1 species
GAGACUCUGUGCGCGUGCAUAUCAAUAAGCGGAGGAAAAGAAACUAACAAGGAUUCCCUUAGUAACGGCGAGUGAAGCGGGAAGAGCUCGAAUUUGAAAUCUUCAAGGUUCUACCUUGACGAAUUGUAGUUUAUAGAAGUGUUUUCUGUUAGUGGAGUGGCAAAAGUUCUUUGGAAUAGGACAUCAUAGAGGGUGAGAAUCCCGUAUUUGGUCAUUCCUCCUAGCGUUGUGAUACACUUUCAACGAGUCGGAUUGUUUGGGAAUGCAGUCCAAAAUGGGUGGUAAAUUUCAUCUAAAGCUAAAUAUUGGCGAGAGACCGAUAGCGAACAAGUACCGUGAGGGAAAGAUGAAAAGAACUUUGAAAAGAGAGUUAAACAGUACGUGAAAUUGUCAAAAGGGAAGCGUUUGACACCAGUGUUGUUUUUCCGAAAAUCAAUUACGAAUGUUUUAUUUUUGAGGAGUUAUGACUUCAUCGGCUUGCUCCUUUCUUUAUGAAACUUUCUUAAUGCACUUUUCGGUUAACAAGUCAACAUCAAUUUCUUUUGUUGUAAAAGGGUAUGAGGAAGGUGGCUUUCUUUUCGGAGAAAGUGUUUAUAGCCUUGUACCUCUGCAAUCGGAGAGAUUGAGGUCUGCAGCGUAGAUCCUUCGGGGUUAGAUACAUUUGUGCUAAGUUAUAGCUUUUCAUAGACAACUUGUUGACUAUGUUUAGUCUUGUAGCUUACUCGCUUAUGCUAUUUUACCUACGCUUAGGAUGUUGACGAUCAGCUGAGCGCG